rnacentral:sRNA from 1 species
AUGUACCACGCGUCCACUGCGGUUCUGAGCGNGCGCGCCCACCUGACAGCUGCUCGCGACGUUCUGUUCGCC